UACGGAGGGUGCGAGCGUUGUCCGGAAUCACUGGGCGUAAAGGGUGCGUAGGCGGGUCUUUAAGUCAGGGGUGAAAUCCUGGAGCUCAACUCCAGAACUGCCUUUGAUACUGAAGAUCUUGAGUUCGGGAGAGGUGAGUGGAACUGCGAGUGUAGAGGUGAAAUUCGUAGAUAUUCGCAAGAACACCAGUGGCGAAGGCGGCUCACUGGCCCGGUACUGACGCUGAGGCACGAAAGCGUGGGGAGCAAACAGG
rnacentral:rRNA from 1 species